rnacentral:lncRNA from 13 species
CUCCACAGACAUGUUGAAUAGCUUGUCCUCUGGGUGCUCAAUAUUCCCACUGCGGAAGAAAAACCACUCCAGUGGCAAGGGCUGGAAGAAGCGGAAGCGGAAGAGGAAGAAUUCCCCCGCAGUGGGGGUAAAGGCCCAGAAGUCCUCGCGCAGGAAAAUCUAGGCUGUAACCAGCUCCCUGUUACCCUCAAUGAUAUCGUGGUGAAUAUCUUAGUGCAUGAUGCUUCAUGGAUUUACGUGACAACUUUUCUGGCAUUACUCAGGGAGACCUUCUCUAAUCCCAUCCUGUCUCACUUAAGCAAAAAUGAAACAACAUCAACAACAAGAAGUAAAGCAAAGCAAAACAAAUUAAAUAGUAUGAGAACUUCAAAGAAAUAGACCUGGAAUGCUGUAGCCAAGGAAGAAAAUAAAGGGCAGAGGAAGUUAUACCA